rnacentral:rRNA from 1 species
GGCUUAGAGUUUGAUCCUGCCUCAGAACGAACGCUGGCGGCAGGCUUAACACAUCCAAGUCGAACGCCCCGCAAGGGGAGUGGCAGCCGGGUGAGUAACGCGUGGGAAUCUACCGAGCCCUACGGAAUAACGCAUGGAAACGUGUGCUAAUACCGUAUACGCCCUUAGGGGGAAAGAUUUAUCGGGGUUUGAUGAGCCCGCGUUGGAUUAGCUAGUUGGUGGGGUAAAGGCCUACCAAGGCGACGAUCCAUAGCUGGUCUGAGAGGAUGAUCAGCCACAUUGGGACUGAGACACGGCCCAAACUCCUACGGGAGGCAGCAGUGGGGAAUAUUGGACAAUGGGCGCAAGCCUGACCCAGCCAUGCCGCGUGAAGGCUGAAGGUCUUAGGAUUGUAAAGCUCUUUC